AAAAGCUGUAUAUUGCACUUAUUUUUCACUUUAUUACGAAAUUUUUCACUUUAUUCCAAAAAAGAAAGCCCGUUAAAACAUACAUAUGGUUGAGUGCUACUGCUUCUGUUCCUGUGUCAGCACUGUGUGACUUUGGUUUCCUUGAAGAUUGGACCAAAUGGUUUAAUUCAGCGGUGGCAUCAUUUUUCUGACAGUUCAGCUCCUGUGCUAUGACACUUCUAAGUUGGUAUUUUAAAAUAUGUUUUGUCAAGCAUGUGUAAUAAUUUCAAUAUCUUCUAAUACUUGCUGCAAAAUCUUCCAGCCAUUAUCACUGGUAUCUGCGUUAUUUGACAAAUGAAAUUCUCAGAAACCACAUAUUUAGAAUAUUUAACAGUGUAGGUUCUUGUGUUUUAACAAAAGGCUUGUAAUUAUUACUGAUAAUUUAGAGUCUCAUAAUCUUUGCAGAAGUUUUUCAUGUGAAAUUCUGAUCUCUGUAGCGUGGGUGAGGAUGUUUUUAAGGACCAGAGGUGUUGGUAGUUGUGUAUAGAAAAGAGAAUCCAGAGAAAAGCAAUGCUUUCCACAGUGUCCUGCCUUCUGUGGUGGCAACUGGAGGGGUUGGUAGCCACAAGCACAGUCUCAUUGUACCAUACAAAGGAGUAAUUCCUUGAUGAUCACACUCAGCCAGCAACUCAGCCUCUUGUGACAACUACAGCUGAGACUUCAACUAAGUAUUUGCUGACCACAAACCCCAGGAACAGGGCAGGUACAGCCUGGGGAGGGAGGGGGUUUGCUGAUGGCUGUGCUGGAUUCAGCUCAUCUCCCUUGGCUGCUCUUCCAGCUGCUCACACAGUAAUGAAUUUGAAAUAUCCCAACCUGCACUGUUGAUUCCCUUUUCCUGGUUGGACAUUUCCAGCCCCAGCCAGGCUGUUUAUCCAGAACGUGAUUAAUGUACCUGCUGUGCAUAAACAAACACGCCUGCUCCUUUCAACCUGAAAUGGCAAUUUUUUAUGUUCACCAUCAGGCAGAAUUCUCCAUUGUUAUUAUAAAAGAUGGGUUAACCCGAGAAAGUGAGGAAAAACAGCACAUGUGCAACUUUCAAGGAAGAAAAAGAAAAGGUGCAGCAAUUUCUUGUGAACGCAUUUGGAUCAGCUCCCAUACUCCUGUCUGCAGCAUGAACUAUGAUUUUUAUUAUACAUUUGAGAAGUAUUUCAAUCUCCAUUCCAUUUUCCUUUCUUUACAAUUGUGAUCUGACCCGGUGUGAUUUUAUUUUGCUGCACUAGGUCAUUUGCUGUUCAAGAUCAUAUUUAUUUUUUAUCCUCCCUAUGAAGAAUAGCUUCAAAAGUAAUUCUGUCCACCCCUUCCAUGCCCCUGUGCAUUAUACAGAGCCUGGAACUGGUGUUUAAAUAUUGGUGAUACAGGUAUAGAAAUCUACUUGGUUUUUCUCAGGUCAGAGACAGCAUGAAGUCACUAAAAUUGUCCACUUAAAAAGGUCAGGUAUUAUAUGCAGUAUGUUUGCAUAUUGAAUUUACAACCUCUUAGGCUUUUUUCUUCGUGCUACAGUAAAUACAUUGGUUGCAGGAGAAACAGUCAGGGUUUAUCUGUGUCCUGCAAUGAAGUGGAGGAGAAAUCCUGAGAGGUUGCAUCGGGUAAAGCUACUGGACCUGGUCCCAGAAACAGCAGCUUCACAUAGGGGCAGCUCUGCCUCAGAAAUAAUUAGUCUGUCUCAAAGUCUAAUUAGUUCAGCCUCAGCACUGUGUAUUUGGGGCUCUCCCUGUUCUGGGAGUAGCCUGGUUGUUGCUGUUUGAGUGACUGAAUUAAUCAAGGGAAGGGAAUAGGUCUUCAGUGAACACAGUGUCUCCAGGAAUGUGAUUUCCCCAGGUGCCCAAUGAACAGUUUUAAACCAUAGUGAUGAUAAAUGAGUGUGAACAAACCCUGUAAUUAUGAGGAGACCGAGGCUGGGAUAAUGCAGUGUUACAUGGCAAAAGGAUUCACGUUCACCCAUUUGCCCUCUUGUAAAAUUUACCACCCUGAGAAGGGGCAGAGGGAAGCAGGACCCUCCAAGUAAAAUUCUUACUUGGUUUCAAGGGGCAUCACUGUGAUGGCAUCUAAAAAUUAGCAGCACAGAUGUCUGAAUGGUGGUAUUUAACUUAUUAGCUAUUCUGGUGUGGCACAUAAGUGGUGCUGACUCUGAUCAUCUUUUAUCUUACUUCUGUUAUCAUUUAUAUUCUGGCUUACAUAGGCAUUUUAUUUUAGGUGCCCUGUACUAAGGAACAAGUAGAUAGCACUGAGAAAUAUGCUGCUAUUUGGGAUUUAAUGACAUCAUCUAAAUAAAUAUUGCCACUGUUCUAAAAUCAGCAUUGAAGCCUUGCAGGAAGAGGAUCACAGAUCUUGACUGCCAUUUUGCUGGGGGAGUGAGUUUGUCAGGAACAUUAAAAUUAUAGAUAGAUGUCUCAGUUUAAUGAGACUGAAGUGUUUUGCUAAGGAGGAUGACUUAUGAGGAAGACCAAACUCCUCCCUCUAAGCACCUGUAAAUCCGAAACUAAGAGGCUCCAAUCGAGGAAGUCUGGAGAAAGAAAAAAAAAAAUAACAGCCCUUUAUUAAAGGAUAUAUGUGUAUUGGCAGAACAACAAAAGAACACAAAAAAACCAACCAAACAAUUAUCCUGUACCUAAAAAUCCCCUUCAAAAGGAAGCAAUUUGGUACUUUCUGCCUUUUGGCACAAUUUUAACCACGGUGGGCAGGGGGUGUGUUGGGGUCUGGCGGUCGCCAUGGGAGGAGCCGAAAAAUGGAGAUUCCCACACACACAACGAGAAGGGGAAAAAGAAAAGGGGAAAAAGGGGUUCUUCUCACGAAAACUCAUGCUGGCUGUGGCUGGCUGUGGCCGGGAUUUCCCCCUUUUUGCGUCGAUGGGCACAAACCGCUGCCAAACACGGGAGCGGAGGAGGGAAAGGGCGACCUCGUCUCCAAACAGUUCCUCUGCAGAUGGGUCAAGCCUCUCUGAGGAAAUCUGAGCAGAUCUGGGCUGGGGGCAGAACAGGGAGCAGGCAAGCCAGGGCCAGAAAACAGCCCGAUGACCAGGCUGAGAACAAAACUACCUCGGAGCCUUUCCAACACACGCCUUGCCUGAGUUAAGGCAAAAGUGAAAUAAAUGCCAACAUUUCCGAGGAGAGAAGAAAAAAAAAACCUCAUCACCCCCUCCCCACAUUCUUAGGAGGACCAUCAGCAAAACAUCAGGAAAGAAGACAUUCAUCCAUAGCGAUCUCCCAGCUGCAAGCAGGAGAGCAAGGCAGGUCCUCGCGCGAAUCAACCCGAGCUUCACACCUCUCCCUUAGGGAUUUAUGCAAGUGCUUCUUUAUGGUGUAACGAAACACUUAGCCAGGGUUUGUCCCUGGCAAUAACCCAAUAAGGUUACCUGAUUUAUUCGUGAUUUGUGGGCAAUGAGUAUGGAAGAGCAACCCUGGAAAAGCCGUGGGGGGUCCCCAUGCUUUUGGGCAACUAACACUAUUUCACCCUAAUGAGUUACCCUUGAACAGAACUCCACGCAGCAGAGGCAAAAGAUCAAUACUCCAAUUUUCCACAAAUUGUGACUCGAAUAUUCAAUUCUGGAACUGACUGCAAAGAUUCUUUUCUAGCCUUAUAGCAGGCACAUGCUUUAACCUCUCUAAAUAAACUUGGCUGCUGGCUUGCAAAGGAAGCUAAUGCUACUAGCUUAGCAAUAAGUGCCUUACUAACCCAUGUAGAUUCAGUGAGAUGUGGGGGAUCGUGGACCAGAGCAGAACUUAAAGGGUUACCGAAGCAGAGGAUGUUGCCAGAACGGAAGAAAAUGUGGCAGAAGGUGGGAGGAAGUGUCUGCAAUGUGCCUGGAACCAAAGGUUGUGUGACCCAGAACAAGAGGAUGACUGAAGAAAAGAAGAAAGCACGUUGGAAGCUGAUAGGUGUAAAGAUGGACAUUAGUUGUUGAUGGGUAGAAAUGUGCAUACUGUAAUUUUAUAGGGCCGAGUAUUUCUUGUUGAUAGGUUGAAGAUGCUUUGCUUUGCUCACAGAGCAGAAAUGAAACUAAUUCCUCUAUAAAUAGAGGCUUGAAGUAAAUAAUAAACAAUUGUGACCAGCAA